rnacentral:lncRNA from 10 species
AGAGAGGGAAGGGAGGGGAGAAACAACAACCAUAUGUCUUUAUUUCCUGUUAGCUCCAUUUCUGGCCUUUGGUCUCUUUCUCGGAAAGCAGGCCUCAGUGGCCUCAGUUUCUUCCCAGAACCUGCAAUGCCCCACCAAGGUGACAAGAAGUGCAAGGAGUCGGUUUUCACUGCCAACCAAAGAGGUGACCCCCGCAAAGCAACCAUGUUGGGACAGUCCAUUUGCUGCGUUUUGAUUAUUUGCUAAGAGCAAAUACCUUUUCUGUUUGGGUUUUGCUUUUAGAAAAAAAAUGUGGCAGAUGGUGGUGGCUUUCCCCGUCAUUGAAAGAAGAAAGCAAGACCUUCCAUCUGCGUGAAAUAAUCAUGUCCGUUAAUUGUAAACAGGAGCAUCUUUGAAAGCUGAGCUAGAGGCGGAGCAACUGGUAAACCAGAUGUCCCAAAUUUCUAGCGCUUAGAGGAAGCAUCUGGGAUUGAGCCAUCUCACAUCUGUCUAAUCACAUUCAUUCAAAUGUGAUGGGCCCAACUGGCCUACGUACAUGGCUGCAUAUCACCAUGGGUGGAAAUUAAAUCAGAAUUUGGCUCAGGAGAGAGAUGAAGAGAAAAUGCACGUAGAUAAUUGGCUCAGAUAACAUUCUGUUUCUGGAAGUCACAAAGAGUGGAAAUUGGAAUAUGUAAAUUAAAGAAAAACAGUCCUUAAGAUCAAGUCCGCAAUGGAAGAAGAGCAUUCAUCUGGUACAGGUUGAUGAUUGUGUAAGCCCAAGGAGUGAUGUCAACACUGGGGUUCACCUGAGAACAUGGACAUGGUUGAUGAGGGUUUAGGAGAUGCUCAUACGAAGUCUUCAUAUGUUCCCUGGAUCCCAGCUCUGCCUUCCCACCAGAGAGGAUGUAAUUCAGCCGAGAUGCCCAGAGUCAGCUCUCUGCUCAUAUCUGUUCCGCACUGAAGCCAAUCAUCUGAGAAACCUAAGAAGUGUUUAAUGUAGUUAGGAAAGUGAGGGAUGAAGACCAUAAAUUCCUUUUCAUGUAGCAGAGUAUAUAUGUGAUACUCAUUCUGUGGUAUUUGGGGCAUAAACAAGAGUCGAUGAAGGAAUGUGAAAGUACUCGAAAUCCUGACUUUUAUCUCUAUAAAAAUGGCAUAGGGAUGAAACACACUUGGUUGUUAUGACUGUACUCUUUUCAGAUUUACUACUUGCCUUUCUACUGAUUUUUCUGUGCCACAGGUCUUGACUCCUGUAGGCUAAAUUUCUCAGCCUCUUCUGCUCACUGAUAUAUGGGAAGGUUUGGCCAAAGGUGGGUGACUGGUGGGGAGAAGGAUGAGGGAAUUCAGGGGAUUGCUGAGCCCAUUCUCUAGACAGUGCUGCUGGCACUGGCUCUGUCUUCUCCGUUUCCAUCUCGCAUCAGACGGUUCUUCCCUCUAUGGGCCUAGUCCUACCUAGACACUUUCCAGUUGGAUUCCAGUUCUGGGGAUGCUCCCUCCUGCAGGGAUCUAAGUCCUUCCCAUUGUCUUCGGCUCCUGGGCUCAGCUAGAACCAUCUUUUCCCAUUGUCCCUGUGGUGCUAGGGCUUUCAGUGGUUAUUAACGUCUGUGUUGUAUCAUCUUGCCUGAAUUUCAGCUCUCUGUAACCAGUUCCCCAAAUAAAAUUCCCCCCAUUUACCUACCUUCUGUGAGUCUGUUUGCCUGACAUGACCGUAUUAAGUAUACCCGAUAUAUUAGUGAGCUUCGGAUGAUAUCACAAUGUGCCGUAGACUGGGUGGCAUAAAAAACAAAGGAAUGUAUUUCUCAUUGUUCUGGAGCUGGGAAGUCCAAGAUAAAGGUGCUAGCCAAUUCUAUUUCUGAUGAGGGCUCUCUUCCUGGCUUGUGGAUGGCCACCUUGUCACUCUAU